UCCAGACUCCUACGGGAGGCAGCAGUGGGGGAUAUUGCACAAUGGGGGGAACCCUGAUGCAGCGACGCCGCGUGGGUGAAGGAGCGUUUCGGCGCGUAAAGCCCUAUCGGCAGGGAAGAAGGAGGACGGUACCUGACUAAGAAGCCCCGGCUAACUACGUGCCAGCAGCCGCGGUAAUACGUAGGGGGCAAGCGUUAUCCGGAUUUACUGGGUGUAAAGGGGGCGCAGACGGCAGCGCAAGCCAGGAGUGAAAGCCCGGGGCCCAACCCCGGGACUGCUCUUGGAACUGCGCGGCUGGAGUGCAGGAGGGGCAGGCGGAAUUCCUAGUGUAGCGGUGAAAUGCGUAGAUAUUAGGAGGAACACCGGUGGCGAAGGCGGCCUGCUGGACUGUGACUGACGUUGAGGCUCGAAAGCGUGGGGAGCAAACAGGAUUAGAUACCCGCGUAAA
rnacentral:rRNA from 1 species